rnacentral:lncRNA from 1 species
GAAUAAUAAUAUGUCAUUAAAUAAUUAUUUUAAUCCAACAAAAUUUGAAAAUAGUAUAACAUUUAUAAAAAAUGAAAAAGAUGUUGUUACUAAUGGCACUAACAGAACUAAAGUACACACAUAUGGAAAGAAUACAAAAAACGAAUACCAUAAAGGUACCAACAAUGUUAGUAGUAACCUGGAAAAAACAAAUAAAAAACAAACAAACAAGCAAACAAACAAGCAAACAAACAAGCAAACGAACAAGCAAACAAAUAAAAAAAACAAACAAGUAAACAAACAAACAAAUGCUGAUAUAAUAAACAAAAGAAUAGUAAAAAAUGAAGAUACCGAAUUAGAUAUUGAAAAAGGGAUAAGUGUUAGACCAAAUACAAACAAUUACAAUUUGAAUGAAAAAGAAAAGGUAUAUAACAACGACACAAGUACUUUGGCUGUUUUGGGUACCUCUUGGGCUGCUACCAAGAAUAACCAUAAUGAUAGUAACUUUAGUGCUAAUGUUGGUAAUAAUAGUAACUAUGAUGGUACGAAAACGUUGGGCAAUACGCUUGGUGUGAAUAGUUUUCAGAACCCAGUUAAUCAGAUGUCUGUUCGCAACAUGGAAAAAAAGUUUUAUCCAAACAAACAGUAUAUUCGUAUAACCGAAAAAAAUAACAAUAUCGUGGAAAACAAAAAAAAUGUUAUUCCUAUGCAUAAAAACAAACAUUUCGUACAUAAUGACAAGGUCACUGUCACUUCAAAUGUGUAUGGUCAAGGGAAGGAAAGAGCAAACAUAACAGGAGUAUUACAAAAUCAAGAUGAAAGUUUACAAUGUGGAAUAAACAAAAAUGGUAUUACAUUGCAUAAGCGUAAGAUGCCAAAUGAUAGGCAAAAUGAUAGGCAAAAUGAUAAGGGACAUAAUAAGGGACAUAAUAAGGGACAUAAUAAGGGACAUAAUAAGGGACAUAAUAUGGGACAUAAUAUGGGACAUAAUAUGGGACAUAAUAUGGGACAUAAUAUGGGACAUAAUAUGGGACAUAAUAUGGGAAAUACCAAUACAAUCCUAAGUAUACAUAACGCAAGUGGAAAAAACUCUAACUUGGAAGUCAAUAAAGAAAUAUACAAAUAUAUAGACUAUUGUGUUAAAAAUCGUGGUAAUAAAUAUCUAUUAGACGUAUUAAACGACUUAUCAUAUACUCCUAGAGAUAUUAAUUCAGCUGCCUCUGAUAAUGCCAUUGUCAAUGCUACUAAUAAAGACAACAUGUGUGACUUAAAUAGCAUGUUUAAAAUAAAAAUAAGUCAGGAAAAUAUUAACACCAUUGCAUCAUUAGAAAGUGAUAUUAAAAAUGUGAAAAAUCAGACCAUAGACAACAUUAAGAAUGUUACUAUUUUGGGUACUACCAGUGUCAAUGACACUGCAGAUGUUAGUACCAAUAAAGACGACAAUAAAGACGACAAUAAAGGUGACAAUAAAAACGACAAUAAAGGUGACAAUAAAAACGACAAUAAAAACGACAAUAAUAGCGACAAUAAUAGCGACAAUAAUAGCAACAAUAAUAGCGACAAUAAUAGCGACAAUAAUAGCAACAAUAAAAACGACAAUAAAAGCGACAAUGUCGGUACUAACUCCAGUAUUAACGACAGUUCCAAUGCAAUCAUCACCUUAAAACUAAGUUUAGAUGAUAUAAACAUGACCCUACUACAUAGCGCUUACGUAGACAAUAUAACAGUCGUUAAAAAAUGCCUUGAAAUGAAUGCAAAUGUAAAUUAUACUGAUAAAGUAGGUAGAACAGCUUUACAUUACGCAUGUGUAGGUGAAUAUUAUGAUAUAUGUGACUUGCUAAUAAAACACGGAGCAGAAGUAAAUGUUGCAGAUUUUAAACAAUGGACCCCAUUACAUGUUGCUGUUACAAAAAUGCAUAACCGAAUAACAGAAUUAUUAUUAAAACAUAAUGCUAAUAUAAAUGCUUUAUUACCACAUUCUUUAUCACCCAAUAGAAGAAAUGCUACAGCUAGUAUGAGUAUACAUUUUGCAGCCAUAAAAGGAAAUAAAGAUAUAACAAAAAUAUUAAUAAAACAUGGAGC